GCGGGAUCAAGCGUCGCCCUCGCCCGCGGCCAUCUCCGUCCACACCCACGGGAACGCCUCAGGCUGCACCCAUGAGAAUGCCACCACCUGCAAACGCGCGAACGCCUCCACCUACAGACCUAUUCCUGCGAGAACAUCGACGCCCGUACCCACGCGAACGCCUCCGACUCCUCAAGGUAACAAGACUAACAACCCGUUCUACAAAUUUUCGUAGUAGUGAACACUGAGGAGUGCCGGUACUUCGUGUAUUUGUUGCUAUGUGUCACCAUCUUUUUUGCAGACUGUGCGGUGUGAUGCUUUUCUUCUACCCUUUGUAGUAGCUUGCUGUUGAUAUUUGAGAUCGAUCCAAAUAUUAACCUUGUGUCUGACGGGUACUGAAUUUCAUGCUCUUAUGAAGUAAUUAACUGAUUAUUUAUCACACGCCAAAUAACACAUGUGAUCUUUCUUAUAGAUCUAUUCAUUCAUCAGUCAAGAAGUAGAGAUGUACUCCAGUCUGUAUUUGUCAUAUCUCUGAAUGCGUAACCAAGUUUCUAAGCAAUUUUUUCUGUAGUUUUCAUAUCUCUGAAUGUGUAAACCAAGUUUCCUGUAAAUAAAAGGAUUGUUUCUAAAAUUGUUCUUUUUGUAUUUGUCAUAUGCCUGAACCUAUAUAUAUAAAUUACUAAGAAGUUCAUUUUGUAAACUUAAUGAAAGGAUGAAACAACUUCUUGGCUGUCAAUUUUCUUCGCCUAUGUACUGCAGAGUUUGCUGAUCAGUUUUUUCAAAUGUGUCAGCCUGAGGGUCACGCUUAGCGAUCUCAUGUUGCAAGGAUUCUGUAUCGGUACAUUUCUUAUCCAAAACUGACUGCACUCCGUCCAAUAGCUUCUGGCUAUCUGAUUCUAGAUUCAAAGUCUUAUGUAUCGGUAGUCUUCUGUAUCAUAAGAGGUAUAGCUAGAAAAAAAAAGCUAAAUGAUCAAUUUUGGAGAAACAACUACUCCGUAGAAAAAUUAACCUGCAGUUGCACGCUUUCUCUAUUUUAUGUUGUUUGGUUCAACAUUUUUUCAAAUCUGCACAGAGACAAGCAUGCUAUCAUGAAAACCUUGUGCUGAAACUACUACAAUAUGUCCUGAAACUGAACUCUUUUGAGGUGAUGCCCUAUUUACAUGUUUUUCCUUAUUAAAGAGAUAAAGUGAGUCGUGAUAUUGCUAGGAUGGUGAGGUAGACAUGACAUGAGGCCUUUGUCAAAUAAGUGACUGUAUGCUUUUGGUCAUUGCUUUUCUAACUCUUAGAUAUGUUAACAUAUUAUGAUACUAAUAUUUCAUGAUACCCUUCUUGGCCAAGGAAGUACAGUCAUGCCCGCAACUCUGGAGUAUGAGAGAAACAGGUUGGCAAGGAUUAAGAGGCGCAUGGCUGAGGAGGCAGGUCCUCCUGAAGACAUACGAAACAUAGCUACUGAACUGUUAUAUGGUCAGAAUGCAAAUCAAAACAGGGGCGCAAAGGUGUGGAUGGUGGUAGUGGCUCCAAAUAUGAGCCAAAUGAUGAGGAGGAGGCUGAUGAUGCCGAUGAGUUUUCUGAAGAAGAAGAGGAGCAGGGGCCAACUCUACAUAUGUCAAAGAAAAAGACUGCUGUGGGAAGAAAAGGAAGUGAUGCACAACCAGAAGAUGAGCACCCAGUAUUUGGUACGCAGAUUGUGGCUGAAGUUCUAAAGGAGCACAACACCUCAAGCACCUUCCUUUCUACCAUGGGGGUAACAAUCAAGAUAUGGGAGGUCUAAGGACACCAGCUUCCGCAGAAUGCGUUCAAGAGUUAGAUGGAAAAGCUGAACAAGAAAAUAGUGAGGACCAUAGGCAAAUGUGAUGUACCAACAACAGUUAACUAACAGAGGUAAAACGCAAGAGGCUGUACUUAAAGAGAUGAAAAAGAAGCAACACGAAGUAUUGGAGGCCAUGAAGAAGAGCAUGGAAGAAAAGAAUAAAUCAUAUAAAAAGAAGCAAGAGGAACAUGAUGGCCUUAUUAGAUUCCUCUUACGAAAACAUGUAACGUAGACUAGGUACCAUACUUGAUGGUUCAUGAAGGCUACGCUUAUAUGUUGUGCUAUCCUAGUACGAUCUUAGUUUGCUCGACUUUACUUAUGAUAGUUUUAUAGUGCAACUUAUUCUGUUAUGUACAAAGAUUUUGUUUUGAGUUAGAUGCCAAUUGAGUAUAUCUUGUCA